UACGUAGGGUGCAAGCGUUGCCCGGAUUUAUUGGGCGUAAAGGGCGCGUAGGCGGCUCGGCACGUCCGUUGUGAAAUCGCCCGGCUCAACUGGGCGGGGUCAGCGGAUACGGCCGAGCUUGAGCAAGCUAGGGGGCAAUGGAAUUCCCGGUGUAGUGGUGGAAUGCGUAGAUAUCGGGAGGAACACCAGUGGCGAAAGCGGCUUCCUGGUCCAGCAUCGACGUUCAGGCACGAAAGCGUGGGGAGCAAACAGG
rnacentral:rRNA from 1 species